AAUUUAUUAUGUAAUUUAAGUAGGAUUUGACAUGAUAUAUUUUUAUUGCUUAAUGCAAAAAGAGGUGAACAAAGGGGUUCACCCCUCCUAAGUUUCGUUCUAUCCUGAUAAUACGUUAUCUGCUAACUAUUCUGAUGCAUGUAUUUUCUCUACAUGAUUAUUCAGUCGCAAGUCAACUUUUUUUGCUCUUCAUGCUAAAUAUUUUGUUACCUUUUAAUAAUAAUGUUAUCGUCUUCGCAUAUAUAUGUGUCUUUGAAAUCUAAACAUUGGUUCAAUAACUGCAAAUUUGUUUAUAUCGUCAAAUAUAUUAUUAACAUAUUAAGUUGGUUUGUACUUCAUGUCAUUUCAUUCAUGCCUGUGACGAAAGUAGGAUGAAAUUUAAUUGGGGUCAAAAUUAUAUAAAACAAAAACAAAUAUAUUAUUUUGACAACUAUCCUAUUUAUGAGUUUUCAUUUGAAAAGUACUCUUUUUCUUAUUAAUUUUGUAAUGCAAUAUAU
rnacentral:sRNA from 1 species